CGUCAUUUGUUUGCUGGGUAAUAAUUAUAAGUUCUAGUUGUUUAAGAGUACAGUGAUUUUAAAACAUGAAAUAAUAAUGAAAAUAUCAUUCAUUUCUGUGAACUCGGGUUUAUAUUCGCGAAUAUUUAGUCAUAUUCAGUAGUCAUACUGAAAUGGAAAUAUAUACAACAUAAAUUAGCCAUACUUCUUCCUACGAUGAUAGCAGAAACAGGGCUUUUUCUGAUUUUGGGAAGCGGCCGUUGGCAGACUGUGGUACUGUUUGACGUGGUCGCAGUUAAAAAGGGAGAACGAGUGGACCCCGAGAACGAUUACACGCAUUCAAGACAUCGUUAGCCACAGAAUCACCCAAUCGCACGACACUUUCCAGGUCAGGGUCUGAAUUCAAUGGAAUAGAAUCUUGAACUUGUUUCUCUACAACAGGGCACAUGCCUGCAGAAACUUUAUAGUUUGGAAAUACUCCUUUUUUGAAAAGUACACCUUUGUUUUUCCUAGCGUGAUUGUUUUUAUAACUGUGCUGUGAUUUCUCAUGGAGUGAUCUCAUUUUGAAUGGUAUUUUAAUGAAUGAAUAUCAAUAUUUGGUGCAUGUAUUAUGUAAUCAUAUGGGAAUAUACAUCUGUAAGACUGAUUGAUAGUGUCAAUAAUCAUUUUAAACAUUUGACAUAUAACUUGUGUGCUUCUCUACUAAAUAGAGUCAAAUGUUGUGAAUAGGAACACUAUUUUUUGGAUUAUUUCUGUUCUGGUUGUUUCCCUUGAAUUGUGUGAAAUUUUGGAAUUACUAUAAAAUACAAACAAAACACAGGAUACAGUUCAGAAAUGUUGCAUUUAAUUCAUUAAACAUUAUAUUUCAAUAUAACAAAAGCUUUUUGUUUUAUUAUGCAUAUAUUAAAAAACUUAAGGUGGCAGGGGAUAUAUCAGUGAAAGGGGGGUCCAUGAAAAUUACAUAUCGUUAGAGUAGGUGUUCCCUAUGGUCUUUAAAAAUCAAUUAGGUAUUUAUAAGAUGUAUUUCUUGUGUUAGGUUGUAGAAAGAAUGUCUCAAAA